rnacentral:tRNA from 1 species
UGCUGGGGUCGCCUAGACCGGUAGGGCGGCGGGUUGCUAACCCGUUGCGCGUGAGCGUUCAGGAGUUCAAAUCUCCUCCCCGGCGU